UCUCGGUUGCGCCUCCCGACUUCAAUUUUUGUUUUGUUUUGUUUUCUCUCCAAUUUUCAAGUUGUUCUCCUCAAGUUUCCCCCCCCCCCUCAGCUACAUCAAGGAGUUUGUCCACGGCGACUUUGGCCGCACGAAACCAAAUUUGUGUCAGCUACUCGACACGCACGCCGACAUACUGGAACUUGAUGUGGAGUCCGUCGACGUGGACUGGCCUCCCGCCCUGCCGGACUAAAGCUCCCCCUCUCACGGGGGGCCCAAUCCGCAACCGACGCGGCCUAAACGGGUCGGGCCCACGAAGGAUGCCUUCCGUGUCAUCAAAACGCUUUUCUGGUCAGGACGGGCGGGUCCAAUCCGGAUUGUCCGUUUGGCGGCAAAAUGGACAAAAAGGAUCUCCGUGCCGAUGUGCUUGUCACAGAUUUUGUUUUUUUUGUUUUGCUACUCCCAAAAAAAAUAAAAAAAAUUCAACCGCAAUCAAACUUGUGUGCUUCACGUCGUCUUAAGUCACGAUCCGAAUCCCCCGCACAACACAAUCCCGUGUCGUCGAUGAGCAAUUUUCAGCUACUUGUUGUCAAAGGUGGCAAUUGUUCCAGCUGAUUCUUUUGCUUUUUUUUUUUUUUUAAAUGCCACGUUUUGUUUUGACUUCAUGGAAUUCUUUUCUUUCGAGCCUUUUCUUGUCAAUCUUUUUCAAAUAUGCUUCGUCUUCGUUUUUGAUUGUGAGUUGUUUAACAUAUGGAGCGAUUGUCGAGUGACAGAAAAGAUCGCCAACGAUCGUGGAUGUUGAUCGUUUUGUCAAUGUAAGGUGUGGUUUCACUCCUUUUUCUUUUUUUUAUUUGAAAGCAUUUUCAGCAUUGACAACGGGGGAGGGGCGGCGGCAAUACGACAGGAUGGAAAUUGCUCACUGUCAUAAAAAAAUGAAGAAGAGAGAAAGUUGAAAUGUAUUUGUUUUAAUUGAAAAUAAAUACACAGAGCACAGCAAAGCAAGUCCACGACUGGGUUCUUUGCCUAACGUUUUGGUAAGAAAACAAAAACAAAAACAAACAAUCCCCAAA